GUAGCUCAGUUGGUAGAGCAGCGGACUGAAAAUCCGCGUGUCGGCGGUUCGAUUCCGCCCCUGGCCACCA
rnacentral:tRNA from 1 species